GUAGGGAAUAUUGGACAAUGGGGGCAACCCUGAUCCAGCGACGCCGCGUGAGUGACGAAGGCCUUCGGGUCGUAAAGCUCUGUUGCAAGGGAAAAACAAAAUGAUGGUACCUUGCUAGAAAGGAUCGGCUAACUUCGUGCCAGCAGCCGCGGUAAGACGAGGGAUCUUAGCGUUGUGCGCAGUUAUUGGGCGUAAAGCGGGUGUAGGUGGCUUUGUAAGUCAGGUGUGAAAGACUGGGGCUUAACCCCAGAGGUGCAUGUGAUACUGCGAAGCUUGAGUGCUGGAGAGGCUACUAGAAUUCUUGGUGUAGUGGUGAAAUACGUAGAUAUCAAGAGGAAUACCGGAGGCGAAGGCGGGUAGCUGGCCAGACACUGACACUCAGACCCGAAAGCGUGGGGAUCAAACAGGAUUAGAAACCCCUGUAGUCC
rnacentral:rRNA from 1 species